rnacentral:rRNA from 1 species
UACGUAGGGUCCGAGCGUUGUUCGGAAUUACUGGGCGUAAAGCGUGUGUAGGCGGCCACGUAAGUCGGAUGUGAAAGCCCCAGGCUCAACCUGGGAAGUGCACUCGAUACUGCGUGGCUUGAGUAUCGGAGAGGUUGGUGGAAUUCUCGGUGUAGAGGUGAAAUUCGUAGAUAUCGAGAGGAACACCGGUGGCGAAGGCGGCCAACUGGACGAAUACUGACGCUGAGACACGAAGGUCAGGGGAGCAAACGGG